AUACUUACCUGGUCUCGGGGCCUCGUUGAUCAACGAGCCCCCAGGGUGAAGCACGGGCAUUGCACUGCGCUCGCGUUGACCCCUGCCACUACCCCAAACUGGGGCAGAUGGGCAGCAGGCAAAUUGC
rnacentral:snRNA from 1 species